UACAGAGGGUGCGAGCGUUAAUCGGAAUUACUGGGCGUAAAGGGUGCGUAGGUGGUUAUUUAAGUUAGAUGUGAAAUCCCUGGGCUUAACCUAGGAAUUGCAUUUAAUACUGAGUAGCUAGAGUUUGGGAGAGGGAAGUGGAAUUUCCGGUGUAGCGGUGAAAUGCGUAGAUAUCGGAAGGAACACCAGUGGCGAAGGCGACUUCCUGGCCCGAUACUGACACUGAGGCACGAAAGCGUGGGGAGCGAAC
rnacentral:rRNA from 1 species